rnacentral:antisense_RNA from 1 species
UAAUAUACUAUUAUUGUAAUUCCACAGGAAAUGCUUUUCAUUCCCAUCUCAGAAGAAUUAGAGAAAUGUUAUCUUUGUUUUUCUUUUUUUUUUUUUUUUUUUUUUUGAGAGAGUCUCGCUCUGUCACCCAGGUUUGACCCUACCAAAACUAUUGUUUACGCUUUAAUGCCUCUUCCAAAUAUCCCACUGAGUAAAGGUUCACCCAUGUAGAAAAGCAGGUUCAACACAGCUUUUUUCCUAGUGAUAAACAUCAACUGUAGCUGAAAAAUGUACUAAAUAGAACUGUACUUCCCAAUGUUUUACCAGAGAUCUAAUCAUAUUUCAGCUUAACGCUUUUUAGUAGAAAACAGUUUUGUAUUUUAUACUACUCUACUCUAUGUGUCUAGUAUUUAAUAAUGAAUUGAUUUUCUAGCUAUUUGUUGGGGAUAAAACACAAAAAUGAAUGAUGAUGUAUCAUAACCUUCUGAC